GUGGGGAAUUUUGGACAAUGGGGGCAACCCUGAUCCAGCCAUUCCGCGUGAGUGAAGAAGGCCUUCGGGUUGUAAAGCUCUUUCGGCAGGAACGAAACGGUGAGCUCUAACAUAGCUCGCUAAUGACGGUACCUGAAGAAGAAGCACCGGCUAACUACGUGCCAGCAGCCGCGGUAAUACGUAGGGUGCGAGCGUUAAUCGGAAUUACUGGGCGUAAAGCGUGCGCAGGCGGUUGUGUAAGACAGGUGUGGAAUCCCCGGGCUUAACCUGGGAACUGCGCUUGUGACUGCACGGCUAGAGUAUGGCAGAGGGGGGUGGAAUUCCACGUGUAGCAGUGAAAUGCGUAGAGAUGUGGAGGAACACCGAUGGCGAAGGCAGCCCCCUGGGCCAAUACUGACGCUCAUGCACGAAAGCGUGGGGAGCAAACAGGAUUAGAAACCCUUGUAGUCC
rnacentral:rRNA from 1 species